ACUUUCGAAGACAGUGAUAUAUUCAAUGUUUUGGUAGAAUAUGUUAUCAAAUUUUUUUAAUCUCUUAAUGAAAACUGAGAUACCUGCAUCUACGGCAGUGUUAGUAAGUUCACCCCCAUUAAAAAAAGUGCAGUAAUCUGAACCCCGAACCCUUAUUGUAUUCCGGCAGAUAUCACUGAACAAAGCUACUACAACUUCAAAUAUUGGAUGACGAUAGUACUCUGUGUUAUUAAAGAGACCAUUAUCCAUAGCCAAUGGAUGAGGAUAGUCCUUCUUUACAUCAAGUUUAUCUAGCGUGAGUUUAACCUUUUUACCCGACUGUGUAAAGCUACAUAGUUUAUUUACGAGUUCUUUUCGCAUAAUGUUUGGUUUGAAAUUCUCAUUUAAUGGGGCUCCCUUUAUUAUUUGUUGAAUGAAAAAUAUCACAAAAAUUCCGCAAUUAUUUGAAUCUGUUUGAAUUUGGUGAUAAGCGCAACUUCUGGAAUUCCAGUUGUCUGUAUUUAUUUUUUCUGGGCUGAAUUUAUUUCUUUCGGACAGCAAUUUUUUGAACACUUUAAAUGCUUCAUCUGCCUUUGAAGUAGUCUUGUUUGGUAAAACACUAUCCUCUUCACCUAUGGGAUCUAUGUAGGAAAAUAUUUUUUUCUUAAAAUCUGCCGUAAUCAGUGUCCAGUGCUGAUUGGUAUUGUACGGAAUGAUGCAUUUACUAGCACAGCUUAAUUUAAUGUUGUUUAUUUCGGCUCCCUGCUCAAGAAUUUGCCCAAAAAUGACAAAACUUCCAAGCCAUUCAGCAGGGUUGCAUCGAAGGCGCGCAACGGGUGGGGGCCUCUAAUUUCGUGAGGCUCCUGACCAGAGUUGAAGGUCAGCCACUGACUUAUUUCAGAGACAACAACGGUCGAAGAAGAAAAAAAACAGGCGCAUGUGUCAGCGGCCAAGGCAUGUCGGCAUGCCGACAUCAUAUAAGGCGCCUGCAGCGCGGCGGCCAGCUGGCCAUGUGCCUGGUCAUCUUCCUUGGUUUGAAUGAUCUCCUAAAAGGCAGUUCCAUUGGACCCAUGAAGGUCAUGCUGGGGCGAAUUAUGGCCUUCCUUCUGCAGAGAAGGAAGACCAUAAUUCUCACGACAGUACCGCCGUUUCAUAAGUUGUGGAGCGAUGCAACGUUGAAACAGCGUGUACUGUCGUGGAACAACCACAUAAGAAAAGUGGUGUCAGCGCACAAUGGCGGGUCCACCGCACCGCUGGCCGCUGCCCCCUCCUAUGCUGAGGUGACUUCCGGGGUGGAAUGCCAACCUCGCUCAGGAACACGUGUCGAGCUGCUGGACUUUGCAGUGAAGGCAGCAAUGGUCCCGCACAAUAUUUAUUGCAGGGAUGGAAUACAUCUCAAUCAGAGAGGGCUGCGGAAAUUGCGGGCAGCGAUCACAAACAAGUUGAGAAUCAUGGCACAACAUGGCCGGUUAUGAGUAUAGAUGAACUGCUGCACGCCCAAGCCUUCUGUGGUCCCGAGUGAGGCGAGUGACGGGAGCUCUAGUAACUAGGGCCUAGUUAUUCAUGCCUUUGUUUUUGUUAAUGGCAGCUGUAAUUUUAACAUGUAAUCUGUAUCUCUGUCUGUGGCACCAUAGCUCCUAAACAAAUGAACUGAUUUUGAUAUAUUUUUUUUUGUUUUGCACACACUUAAUAAUCAUAAUCUGUGAUUUGUUAUUUGGAUGCCAGGUAAAUACUUGACAUUUAUUUAAAAUUUAGAUUCAAUUCAUAAAGUAACAGAGCAUCUUCCCAACUUUUAACAAUAACAAUCAUAACAAUACUUAAAAGAGGAAGGCCUGUUAACCCAUAGUUGAUAAGUGAUUAACUGAUUAGAAAAGUAGUACUCUGUGUAGACGAUUUUGUAUAAGUGGGUACACAUUGUGAUGCAUUUCACAAAGCUGUCAACAGUGGAAGAAUUACAUACAAUUGUUGACACCACUUUUUUCCAAAACUAAAAUGUGUUGAUACAUUUUUUUAAAAGUUUUACAUUAUUUAUUUUAUAGACAUCAAACAAGACAGCGUUUCUAAGUUCUUAGCCUCAUCUUCUUGGCAUGUUAUAACUACCGGCAAGUGAAACAAAUCUUAGAUUUUGGUGGUGAAUCUUGGGUUCAGGUCUUUUUUAGCAUAUUGCAUAUUUUGCAGUAAAUCGAUUGUGCAAAAUUUAAAUUAUGAAUAUAGGAUAUUUUCCACAAUAUGCCUCACUUUUAACACUCAUGUCAUAUCAUGCUCCUGUGAUUAAAAUACAUCAUUUUUGACUGACAAACAUGUUAGUGUAAUUAUUAGGAAAUUAAUGAAGGGUACUGCACAAAGCAUCCCAAAAAUAUGAAAGCACUAGGGAUGGGAAAACCGAUUCCCAAUUUCAUCGAUACCUACCGAUUCUACUUAAAUAAUCCAUAAUCGAGAAACAAUGAUAAAAGUCGAUUCCCGCAUGCAAAAAAAAACCAUUUCACAACAUUGCAAAUCUGUCAGAUACAAUUAUUUAACGACUCUUUGAGUGGGGUUAUGACUGACUAGACGCAUAUACAACAGUCAUAUUUCCACAAAUAAACAAUAUCCAAAACUUGGGUCGAUGUUAUACACAAGUCAAAGUACAAAAAUUAUUUAUAAAAAAAUUAUUACUGCGUAUUAGAAGGGGCCUGUUCUUUUCGCGAUCGCGAUUAAACGACGAUAAACGUGAAAUCACCGUAAAAUACAUUUUUCACCCGAAAUCGCCACAACACAGCGUUUCUCCACGAAAUUUAGUUUUCAAACGCGAAAUCGCAAUGUUUUUAUGGGAAAUUUAAAUACUGGCUAAAAGAUUUGCCUCGUCACUGGUAAACAAACACUGCAACAUGGCCGCUACUGAACAUUUAUCAUAAAUGCACUAAAGCAAACAAAAGCUUACACACGCUCACGUUAUAAUGUUAAACCCAAAAAUAUACUGUUAAAAUACGCAAAACUACGGCGUUUAUUUUCCUUUCCGGCAUAAUGUUUGGAUAGAUAAGACGAACAGGCAAAGUUUUUAAGUCCACGCACACCGCUCGGGGCACUGGCGUCAACUUGGAAUAGGGAUGGACGAUAUACAUCAAUGUAUUUUAAACACCCGAUGUGCAGUAACGAUGCAUCGUAUCGAACCGAUGUAUUGUUAACACUUCAGCAUCGAAUAUAUAUCGAUGUUUUUCAUUCGAUGCAUCGAAUACGCAAAUUAAAACCAAAACAACAAUAACCGAGUUUCUGCUGUGUAAUAAUGGUCCACGUUGUGAACCGUAUCUUAAAGAUUUUAUUUUUUUUAACUUUCAGUUAUAAUAGGACCUAAGAAAAAAAGUUCAGUUUGGCAAUUCUUUAAUACAAUUGAUGAUAAGAAAUCGAAAUGCAAACUAUAUCAAAAGGAUAUCAAGUCUGCCGGAAAUACUACGAACUUAAUUGGGCAUAUUCGUAAUGUUCAUAAGGCUGCUUAUCCCGAAAUUCAGCCAAAAGAAAAUACAUUGAAUUCAGUUAAUAAAACAGAAGAAAUAUCGAAUCCUCCAAAUUUAUAUGAGUUAAUGUUAAUAACUUAGUUGUGUACUCAAAUUUGAUAAAUAUGAAUUUAUGAUGUAUGCUACAUCAUACAUGUAUUGAAAGCUGAAAAAAACAAAUGUUGCAAAUAGAAUUUGAAUCAUUUAAUAUUAAGUUAACUAGGUGAGUACCGAGUAUCGAGAAUCGAAGGAUUUUUUUAAGAAUCGAUAAUCGGGUAUCGGAAUCGAAAAUUUUGGAAGCGUCCCAUCCCUAGAAAGCACCAUCAGAAAUAAAUAUUAAAUGGAGAUUAAAUGACAUCUAACAUCUGCUCUCUCUCUCUCUCUCUCUCUCUCUCUCUCUCUCUCUCUCUCUCUCUCUCUCUCUCUCUCUCUCUCUAUGUAUGUAUGUGUGUGUGUAUAUAUAUACAUACACACACACACACAAAAACAAAACUUAUCUGACUUUAUCAUUUAUUAUAGUUUUCCAAUGGGUUCUGUGUACUAUAACUUGUUUAGUCUGAAUAGGAUGUCUUUUUUCUGUUCGGGGGUAAUAAACAGCUAUGGAAUAACUCUUUGGUCCAUGUUAACUAAUUUAUACCUAAUUGCAAUAUUUUAGACCAAAUUCCAUGGUUUAAAUUUACGCCAAGUUUAUUUUUAAAACACGAUAUUUUAGUGCCAUUGUUUUAAUUUUUUUAUGAACUAUUGUUUAUUCAUAAAGAUAGCAUCAUUUUCAAUUUAUACGACACUUGUUCAAUGACACUUACUUAACUAAAACAGUGCCAUUUUGUCUGAUACAUGAUGCCCUUUUACAAUAUAAUAAUUCGUAAUAAGCACAUCAAACUAUUGGGAACAAUACAAAUAAAUCAGCAAGUUAAUGUACAUUUGAAAAAUGUACCAAUUUCAUUGUGUAAAACUUAGUUACUAAUA